rnacentral:tRNA from 1 species
GGUAAAGUGGCCGAGUAGGUGGCAGGUUGUAGCCCUGAGAACAGAGGUUUAAGUCCUUUCUUUACCA